CCUUCGAUAGCUCAGUUGGUAGAGCGGUGGACUGUAGAAGUUGAGCGAAUAGAGUGGUAGAGAUAUCCAUAGGUCGCUGGUUCAAAUCCGGCUCGAAGGA
rnacentral:tRNA from 1 species